GUCGUUUCAACCCACCCGUUGAGGUUGGAUUCUCUGCUCAGAUUGAACGCUGGCGGCAGGCCUAACACAUGCAAGUCGAGCGGAUGAAGGGAGCUUGCUCCCGGAUUCAGCGGCGGACGGGUGAGUAAUGCCUAGGAAUCUGCCUGGUAGUGGGGGAUAACGUCCGGAAACGGGCGCUAAUACCGCAUACGUCCUGAGGGAGAAAGUGGGGGAUCUUCGGACCUCACGCUAUCAGAUGAGCCUAGGUCGGAUUAGCUAGUUGGUGGGGUAAAGGCCUACCAAGGCGACGAUCCGUAACUGGUCUGAGAGGAUGAUCAGUCACACUGGAACUGAGACACGGUCCAGACUCCUACGGGAGGCAGCAGUGGGGAAUAUUGGACAAUGGGCGAAAGCCUGAUCCAGCCAUGCCGCGUGUGUGAAGAAGGUCUUCGGAUUGUAAAGCACUUUAAGUUGGGAGGAAGGGCAGUAAGUUAAUACCUUGCUGUUUUGACGUUACCAACAGAAUAAGCACCGGCUAACUUCGUGCCAGCAGCCGCGGUAAUACGAAGGGUGCAAGCGUUAAUCGGAAUUACUGGGCGUAAAGCGCGCGUAGGUGGUUCAGCAAGUUGGAUGUGAAAUCCCCGGGCUCAACCUGGGAACUGCAUCCAAAACUACUGAGCUAGAGUACGGUAGAGGGUGGUGGAAUUUCCUGUGUAGCGGUGAAAUGCGUAGAUAUAGGAAGGAACACCAGUGGCGAAGGCGACCACCUGGACUGAUACUGACACUGAGGUGCGAAAGCGUGGGGAGCAAACAGGAUUAGAUACCCUGGUAGUCCACGCCGUAAACGAUGUCGACUAGCCGUUGGGAUCCUUGAGAUCUUAGUGGCGCAGCUAACGCGAUAAGUCGACCGCCUGGAUACGCCACAAAUAAAAAAAAAAAAACCCC
rnacentral:rRNA from 1 species